rnacentral:rRNA from 1 species
UUUAAAACCGUUGGCCGACAGGGCGUAAGCACAUUGCAAAUUCGAAGCGGUAAAGAAAAAGCGUUUCGUUCUCUUGAAAACCUCCGAACCGGGUGAGUAAGUACCGUAGGAAGUCGUCCUGAGUAGGUGGGGAGUAACGUUCGGAGACGGAGGGAUGAAUACGGCAUCCGUCUACGGGAGAAAGCAGGGGACGUCGGGCCUUGCGCUAUCAGAUGAGCCUAGGUCGGAUUAGCUAGUUGGUGAGGUAAUGGCUCACCAAGGCUACGAUCGCGUAACUGCUCUGAGAGAUGAUCAGUCACACUGCAACU